GACGAAUGCUGGCUGCGUGCUUAACACAUGCAAGUCGUACGGUGAAGGAGGGCUUGCCCUCCGGAUCAGUGGCGAACGGGUGAGUAACACGUGGGCAACCUGCCCCUCACUCUGGGAUAACGCCGGGAAACCGGCGCUAAUACCGGAUACGACCAGGCGCGACAUCUCGCCUGGUGGAAAGAAUUUCGGUGAGGGAUGGGCCCGCGGCCUAUCAGCUUGUUGGUGGGGUAACGGCCCACCAAGGCGACGACGGGUAGCCGGCCUGAGAGGGCGACCGGCCACACUGGGACUGAGACACGGCCCAGACUCCUACGGGAGGCAGCAGUGGGGAAUAUUGCGCAAUGGGCGAAAGCCUGACGCAGCGACGCAGCGUGAGGGACGAAGGCCUUCGGGUUGUAAAUCUCUUUCAGCGGGGACGAAGCGAAAGUGACGGUACCCGCAGAAGAAGCACCGGCUAACUACGUGCCAGCCGCCGCGGUAAAAC
rnacentral:rRNA from 1 species